rnacentral:rRNA from 1 species
GACGAACCGUCCAAACGUUAUUCGGAAUUACUGGGCUUAAAGGGUGCGUAGGCGGUGUGGUAAGUUGGGUGUGAAAGCCCUCGGCUCAACCGAGGAACUGCGCUCAAUACUGCUGCACUUGAGGAAGAUAGAGGUGGGCGGAACUACGGGUGGAGCGGUGAAAUGUGUUGAUAUCCGUAGGAACACCGGUGGCGAAAGCGGCCCACGGGGUCUUCUCUGACCCUGAGGCACGAAAGCUAGGGGAGCGAACGGG